AGAGUUUGAUCCUGGCUCAGGAUGAACGCUAGCGACAGGCUUAACACAUGCAAGUCGAGGGGCAGCAUGAUUUGUAGCAAUACAGAUUGAUGGCGACCGGCGCACGGGUGAGUAACGCGUAUGCAACUUACCUAUCAGAGGGGGAUAGCCCGGCGAAAGUCGGAUUAAUACCCCAUAAAACAGGGGUCCCGCAUGGGAAUAUUUGUUAAAGAUUCAUCGCUGAUAGAUAGGCAUGCGUUCCAUUAGGCAGUUGGCGGGGUAACGGCCCACCAAACCGACGAUGGAUAGGGGUUCUGAGAGGAAGGUCCCCCACAUUGGUACUGAGACACGGACCAAACUCCUACGGGAGGCAGCAGUGAGGAAUAUUGGUCAAUGGCCGAGAGGCUGAACCAGCCAAGUCGCGUGAGGGAUGAAGGUUCUAUGGAUCGUAAACCUCUUUUAUAAGGGAAUAAAGUGCGGGACGUGUCCCGUUUUGUAUGUACCUUAUGAAUAAGGAUCGGCUAACUCCGUGCCAGCAGCCGCGGUAAUACGGAGGAUCCGAGCGUUAUCCGGAUUUAUUGGGUUUAAAGGGUGCGUAGGCGGCCUUUUAAGUCAGCGGUGAAAGUCUGUGGCUCAACCAUAGAAUUGCCGUUGAAACUGGGAGGCUUGAGUAUGUUUGAGGCAGGCGGAAUGCGUGGUGUAGCGGUGAAAUGCAUAGAUAUCACGCAGAACCCCGAUUGCGAAGGCAGCCUGCCAAGCCAUUACUGACGCUGAUGCACGAAAGCGUGGGGAUCAAACAGGAUUAGAUACCCUGGUAGUCCACGCAGUAAACGAUGAUCACUAGCUGUUUGCGAUACACUGUAAGCGGCACAGCGAAAGCGUUAAGUGAUCCACCUGGGGAGUACGCCGGCAACGGUGAAACUCAAAGGAAUUGACGGGGGCCC
rnacentral:rRNA from 1 species